rnacentral:rRNA from 1 species
AACCAACGCUGGCGGCGUGCCUAACACAUGCAAGUCGAACGCGAAAGCUCCGCAAGGGGCAAGUAGAGUGGCGAACGGGUGAGUAACACGUGGGUGACCUGCCUUCAAGCGGGGGAGUAACGUCCCGAAAGGGACGCUAAUACCGCAUAACAUCCUGCCUUUGAAGAGGUGGAGAGUCAAAGCCGGGGAUCGCAAGACCUGGCACUUGAAGAGGGGCUCGCGUCUGUAUUAGCUAGNGGUGGGGUAAUGGCCUACCAAGGCAACGAUCAGUAUCCGGCCUGAGAGGGCGGACGGAC